rnacentral:rRNA from 1 species
UACGGAGGGGGCUAGCGUUGUUCGGAAUUACUGGGCGUAAAGCGCGCGUAGGCGGCUUUGUAAGUUAGAGGUGAAAGCCCGGAGCUCAACUCCGGAACUGCCUUUAAGACUGCAUCGCUAGAAUCAUGGAGAGGUGAGUGGAAUUCCGAGUGUAGAGGUGAAAAUUCGUAGAUAUUCGGAAGAACACCAGUGGCGAAGGCGACUCACUGGACAUGUAUUGACGCUGAGGUGCGAAAGCGUGGGGGAGCAAACAGG